GUCAUGUCCACUAGUGUUAAAUAUAACACAUCAAAUUUUGUUCAUCGACAUAACUUGAAUUAUAUUUUAUAUUUUUAUUUUUUUAAUCGCAAUUAUAAACUUAUAAAAGGAAGUGAUCAAGUACGGACAAAUACGGACAACGUACUGAGCAGAACUGAGCCCCAGGGCCCCAACCCUGACCUGCCUCUCGCAAACACCCUUUCGGAGCUCCAUAUACUCCCUCUUUACACCCCUGUCGACCAACCAAUGCAACCCACUAUUAUGCUGUAAAAAAAGUACGCCCCUUGUAUCAAUUAACAAUGCAGCUAAAUUAGUAAACAAUGCUCAUUGACGGCUUACUCAUUAAAUGUACAUAGACUACUUAUUAUGAUCUUUGUAAGUGGAACCUCGCAAUGGAAUUUUAAAUGUAAAAUAAUUUCAAGUUAUGAUUUAAUGAAAUUUAAAUUAUUCAGCAGGUGAAUGUGUCACUGGAAUUAACGAAUAAUGAGUAAAUUAAUGGUGCG